AUUGAACGCUGGCGGCAUGCCUUACACAUGCAAGUCGAACGGUAACAGGUCUUCGGAUGCUGACGAGUGGCGAACGGGUGAGUAAUACAUCGGAACGUGCCCGAUCGUGGGGGAUAACGAAGCGAAAGCUUUGCUAAUACCGCAUAAGAUCUACGGAUGAAAGCAGGGGACCGCAAGGCCUUGCGCGAACGGAGCGGCCGAUGGCAGAUUAGGUAGUUGGUGGGAUAAAAGCUUACCAAGCCGACGAUCUGUAGCUGGUCUGAGAGGACGACCAGCCACACUGGGACUGAGACACGGCCCAGACUCCUACGGGAGGCAGCAGUGGGGAAUUUUGGACAAUGGGCGCAAGCCUGAUCCAGCCAUGCCGCGUGCAGGAUGAUGGCCUUCGGGUUGUAAACUGCUUUUGUACGGAACGAAAAGACUCUGGUUAAUACCUGGGGUCCAUGACGGUACCGUAAGAAUAAGCACCGGCUAACUACGUGCCAGCAGCCGCCGUAAAAC
rnacentral:rRNA from 1 species